AGUAUUGUCUCCCAUAACAUUCAUGAAAGUGGGCAUCCCGGACCCUGGUUUUUCACACAUUAUGAGCUUUAGGAGACAGGUAUA